AUUGAACGCUGGCGGCAUGCCUUACACAUGCAAGUCGAACGGCAGCAUGGAGAGCUUGCUCUCUGAUGGCGAGUGGCGAACGGGUGAGUAAAGCAUCGGAACGUACCGUGUAGUGGGGGAUAACGUAGCGAAAGUCACGCUAAUACCGCAUACGCACUGAGGUGGAAAGCAGGGGAUCGCAAGACCUUGCGCUAUACGAGCGGCCGAUGUCAGAUUAGCUAGUUGGUAGGGUAAAGGCCUACCAAGGCGACGAUCUGUAGCGGGUCUGAGAGGAUGAUCCGCCACACGGGGACUGAGACACGGCCCAGACUCCUACGGGAGGCAGCAGUGGGGAAUUUUGGACAAUGGGGGCAACCCUGAUCCAGCCAUGCCGCGUGAGUGAAGAAGGCCUUCGGGUUGUAAAGCUCUUUCGGCCGGGAAGAAAUCGCACAGGCUAAUACUCUGUGUGGAUGACGGUACCGGCAUAAGAAGCACCGGCUAACUACGUGCCAGCAGCCGCAGUAA
rnacentral:rRNA from 1 species